UAUGCUUGUGCCUUGUUCCCUGUGUUUGUUUCUUUACAUUCUGGAUUACUUUGUUGACCUUAUUGUUUGCUUAAAAGCUACAUUUAGAUAUUUAAUCCUUGCCUGCCUCAUUACACAUUACUAUAUAACUUACCUUAGGGAAGUGGGUAAAACAGAAUGUAAGAGCAAUCUACUUUAUAGCUCUGUGGUACUGGGUUUAUGGAAGCUGCGCAGCGCUCCCUAGCUUUUAACGGACACAGCGGAUCACAGGAUGUGUGGAAUGUAUAAACUCCAAGGUCGUCAUACAUCUCCCAGACAUAUGGAGACCUCCUGCUGUACGCCACAUAAUGUCCAAGAGCAUCCUGGGUUAAGCCUCUUUUCAAAGCAAUGAUUGUCCUUAAAGCAAAUCUCUCUCCUUGGAGCAUCAGAUUGGAGGGAAAUUCCCACAAAGGAAAUUCUGUGGAGUUGCUUCCCAGAUGGAUCUGCAUGGAGCCAUUCAGGACAAGGAGAGAGAUAUGAAUUCCUCUUCCUCUUUUUGGGUGGAACUGCUAAGCCUCUCCAGUUUUCAACAGCGUCUUCAUAUGUUGGAUGGAUGUUUGUGACAUUUCAGAUUUCCCAGAACAGGAAGCAUCCAUUUCUGGUUUUCCAUCUACACUGCAAAUUGUGAACAAAUUUUCAUGUUGCAAUGAAUCCAUCCACCCGAAUAGGCAAGUUUUCAUGCAUGGAAAAGGGCACGUUUGAUGUUUUUGAACUCUGCUUCAACAUUGGCUGAACUUGAGUUGAUGUUGGUGUUUCGAAAGUGAGGGAUCAUUACCCCUGUCCAGAGUGGUCUGUCUGUGUUUGGUCACAUGGAUCCACUUCCAGGUCCUCACCCUCUACAUCUGGAAUGAUGACACACCCUUUUUUUAUUUCUUGCACCUUUCUGAUAUGAGGUGAGCUCCAGAAUUGUCACUGCCCUCUGCUUUGCUGAGAGCCACAACAGUAAUACUGCGUAUUAUUAGUAGCUCGUUUUGCAUCGUCCAUGGAAUGUGACAUGAGAAGCUGUGCCAUUGACCUCACAAAGAAAUCUUUAAUGCGGCAGAUCAAACAAGGUGGCACUUUUGCUGACUAAACAGACUAAACCGAGUAAGACACCACAACACUUAUUGAUGUAGGUAUUUAGAUCAGGAUGAGGAGUAAAAGCCUUGACCAGAGCUCCGAGCAAAGCCAGAGAAAAGUCACUCACAACCUCUUUUGGAGUUGGUGCACCUGCACGUAUCCAUUCUGUCAGCCAGUGUAUUAUUGCAUUAAUAUUGUGUCUUUCUGACAGCAUUUGCACCUCUGGGACACUUGAGCUCUCAUCCCCUGCCAGAAUGCCCUGAUAUAAGAAUAUAUGGUCAGACUUGCCAUUUGGUCUCUGUAGUUUCCUUACUUCUGAGCCAGUUGCAUCAAAACUCAC